rnacentral:rRNA from 1 species
AUUGAACGCUGGCGGAAUGCUUUACACAUGCAAGUCGAACGGCAGCACGGACUUCGGUCUGGUGGCGAGUGGCGAACGGGUGAGUAAUAUAUCGGAACGUGCCCAGUCGUGGGGGCUAACGUAGCGAAAGUUACGAUAAUACCGCAUACGACCUAUGGAUGAAAGCGGGGGAUCGCAAGACCCCGCGCGCUUGGAGCGGGCGAUAUCAGACUAGGUAGUUGGGGGGGUAAAGGCUCACCAAGCAAACGAUCUGUAGCUGGUCUGAGAGGACGACCAGCCACACUGGAACUGAGACACGGUCCAGACUCCUACGGGAGGCAGCAGUGGGGAAUUUUGGACAAUGGACGCAAGUCUGAUCCAGCCAUUCCGCGUGCAGGAUGAAGGCCCUCGGGUUGUAAACUGCUUUUGUACGGAACGAAAAGGUCUCCAUUAAUACUGGGGGCUCAUGACGGUACCGUAAGAAUAAGCACCGGCUAACUACGUGCCAGCCGCCGCAGUAAUAC